rnacentral:rRNA from 1 species
CACGUAGGGUGCAAGCGUUGUCCGGAAUUAUUGGGCGUAAAGGGCUCGUAGGCGGUCCGUCACGUCGGGAGUGAAAACUCGGGGCUCAACCCCGAGCCUGCUUUCGAUACGGGCGGACUAGAGGUAGGUAGGGGAGAACGGAAUUCCUGGUGUAGCGGUGGAAUGCGCAGAUAUCAGGAGGAACACCAAUAGCGAAGGCAGCUCGCUGGGACGGUACUGACGCUAAGGUGCGAAAGCGUGGGGAGCGAACAGG